CUGGGCACGGUGGCGGGCGCUUAUAAUCCCAUCUGCUCAGAAGCUGAGGCACAAGAAUUGCUUGAACCCAAAACACAGAGGCUGCAGUGAGCCUCUGCCUCCCAAAGUGCUAGGAUUACAGGCAUGAGCCAUCACGCCUGGCCCAAACUAGACAUUUUAAAUAAUAUAAUGUGGCAACUCUGGAAAUCAGAUUCUCCACCCUCCCCAGGUUUGUUUUGAUGGUGCUGUUGUUUUAGUUCGUUUGUUUAUUGACUCUUCUGAACUCUGUUUUCUUUGUCAGGUGAGGCCACUGAAGUCCCUGCUCAGUUAGUUUAAUGGUCAGCUGAUGAUGAACAGAGAUUUUUCUUAAACAACUGGAGCCAGUAAGUCUCCCAGUCUUUGCCAAGGGCUUCGUGUGAGUGUCGGGGCGUGCCUUCAACACUAAGCCAGGCAGUCAGCAACUCUGCCUUGGUGUUGUCUUUCUGUUUUUCAGAAAGGUUGAAAAAUGUGGCCUUUAUUUAGGAGACCAUGUGUACAACUAAAAAUGAAGGGUUUUUUUUUUAACCAAGGAAUGAGGGAAACUAGCUAUCUCUGCCGCCUUCAUUUUACAGGUGAAGAAACUGAGGUUUAGAGAAGUUCGGUAAUUUACCCAAGGACAUCCAAGCAAUAGGUAGUGGUGCUAGGAUUAAAAUCAGGCAGCCUGAACGGCUGUAGUGGCUCACACCUGUAAUCCAGUACGUUGGGAGGCCGAGACAGGUGGAUCACGAGGUCAGGAAAUUGAGACCAUCCUGGCCAGCAUGGUGAAACCCCG
rnacentral:lncRNA from 1 species